rnacentral:antisense_RNA from 1 species
UGUAGGAGCUGGCUUGCCUGCGAUAGCAUCACCUCGGUACAUCGGUUAGACCGAGUUGCCUGAAUCGCAGGCAAGCCAGCUCCCACA